GAGGAGAGGGUGAGAUGAUGAGAGGAGAGAGGGUGAGAUGAUGAGAGGAGAGAGGAUGAGAGGGUGAGAGGAUGAGAGGGCAAGAGGAUGAGAGGAUGAGAUGGGAGAGGAUGAGAGGGUGAGAGGAUGAGAGGGUGAGAGGGUGAGAGGAUGAGAGGGCGAGAGGAUGAGAUGAGAGAGGAUGAGAGGGUGAGAGGAUGAGAGGGUGAGAGGAUGAGAGGGUGAGAGGAGAGAGGGUGAGAGGACGAGAGGAGAGAGGGCGAGCACAAUGGCGACGGGGG
ensembl:lncRNA